AUGACUGUGUGAAGGAAAGGAAAACCAUGCUAGGUAGAAGGGGCGGGGCUAAGCUAAAGAAGUUGAGAUGUGCGUCAGUCUUGCAUGAUGAAUGAAAGAGGAAAGAUGAAGCCGUUACUGAUCAGCCUCCUUUUAGUUGUGUGUUUCUCUUUAAGUUUUUCCUCAAACUGGCACAAAGUCCCACAAACUGCAGACUUUGAAGUCUCUGAGAGAGAGACGGUGAACGCCAGCUGCUGCGUAGCAAAAAGCAUUCAAAGAGGACGAGUGAAAUGGUUUAAAAAUAAAACAAAAAUUGCUGAAGCUGUGAUUUACCUUAAAGAUAAACAUGUCAAAUGUCUUAAUUCAACCUUAUCAAACUUCUCUAGUAAGAGUUGGGACAUUUACUCAUGUAAAGUUUUUAUUGAGAUACCAGUUUUGACUGAACUUGAAGGAAACGUAACGUUCAUCAGAGGAAACGCCACAGAGGAGCAGAGAGACGCACCGACAGGAGAUAAGGAAGAACCUCCACCAAGAAAACUUUCAUUCACCAUCAUAGCUGCUCUGGCCGUGGCGUUGCCAUUGAUCCUGAUCACCACCAUCUGUUUCUGCUGGAUGCAAAAGAGAAGAGGUAUUGAAAAAAGGAAACACAUCCGAGGUGAUCUACGAUGUUCCUCACUUUGAUUCUACGGGAGCAGAGAUGGAGAAGCACAGCACCAGCUCCUCCAGAGGGUCUUCUCAGUGGUGCCAGGUUCCUCUAUACGAGUCUCUGGCCUACUUUGAGAAAGUGGAGGACAAAGAGAGUGAAUGAAGAUCUCCACCAGCUACUCCUCAUCAUGUUACUUGUAGUCUUCUAACCUUCUGUAAAUAAAUCACUUUCUAUCUAAACCAAA